CGUAGUAACAACGAACUAUGAGAAGUCAGCAGAAGUCAUAGUAGUGAGGAUAGCCAAUGAAAAUUGGAAGGAGCGAAGGAC
rfam:Lachnospiraceae bacterium TWA4 TWA4_scaffold00001, whole genome shotgun sequence.